ACGGCUCAGUAACACGUGGACAACUUACCCAAGAGUCCGGGAUAACCCCGGGAAACUGGGGAUAAUACCGGAUAGAUCAUCUGUGCUGGAAGGCUGGGUGGUUGAAACUUCCGGGGCUUUUGGAUGGGUCUGCGGCUGAUUAGGUUGUUGCCGGUGUAACGUACCGUCAAGCCUGUAAUCAGUACGGGUUGUGGGAGCAAGAGCCCGGAGAUGGAUUCUGAGACACGAAUCCAGGCCCUACGGGGCGCAGCAGGCGCGAAAACUUUACAAUGCAGGCAACUGCGAUAGGGGAACAUCGAGUGAUCCUCAUAUUGGGGGUCUGUCCACCCGUCUAAAAAACGGGUGUUAGCAAGGGCCGGGCAAGACCGGUGCCAGCCGCCGCGGUAAUACCGGCGGCUCGAGUGGUGGCCGAUAUUAUUGAGUCUAAAGGGUCCGUAGCCGGCUUUGCAAGUCUCUCGGGAAAUCCAGCGGCUUAACCGUUGGUCGUCCGGGGGGUACUACAUUGCUUGGGACUGGGAGAGGUAGGAGGUACUCAGGGGGUAGGAGUGAAAUCCUGUAAUCCUUUGGGGACCACCGGUGGCGAAGGCGUCCUACCAGAACAGGUCCGACGGUGAGGGACGAAAGCUAGGGGCACGAACCGGAUUAGAUACCCGGGUAGUCCUAGCCGUAAACGAUGCUCGCUAGGUGUCACAACAGUCGUGAAUUGUUGUGGUGCCGUAGGGAAGCCGUGAAGCGAGCCACUUGGGAAGUACGACCGCAAGGUUGAAACUUAAAGGAAUUGGCGGGGGAGCAC
rnacentral:rRNA from 1 species